rnacentral:miRNA from 1 species
GUGACAGUAAACUCCUGAUGGA